UCCUACGGGAGGCAGCAGUGGGGAAUAUUGCACAAUGGGCGAAAGCCUGAUGCAGCGACGCCGCGUGAGGGAUGAAGGCCUUCGGGUCGUAAACCUCUUUCGGCAGGGACGAAGCGAUCAGUGACGGUACCUGCAGAAGAAGCCCCGGCUAACUACGUGCCAGCAGCCGCGGUAAGACGUAGGGGGCGAGCGUUGUCCGGAUUUAUUGGGCGUAAAGCGUGCGUAGGCGGCUGCGCAAGUCGGGUGUGAAACCCCGGGGCUCAACCCCGGAACUGCAUCCGAUACUGCGUGGCUAGAGGUAGGUAGGGGAGAUCGGAAUUCCUGGUGUAGCGGUGAAAUGCGCAGAUAUCAGGAGGAACACCGGUGGCGAAGGCGGAUCUCUGGGCCUUACCUGACGCUCAGGCACGAAAGCUAGGGGAGCGAACAGGAUUAGAUACCCUGGUAGUCCUAGCCGUAAACGUUGGGUGCUAGGUGUGGGCGGAUAUCGACCCCGUCCGUGCCGAAGCUAACGCAUUAAGCACCCCGCCUGGGGAGUACGGCCGCAAGGCUAAAACUCAAAGGAAUUGACGGGGGCCCGCACAAGCGGCGGAGCAUGUGGCUUAAUUCGAAGCAACGCGAAGAACCUUACCUGGGCUUGACAUGCGGGGUGAAACCGUAGAAAUACGGCGCUCCUCGGAGCCCGCACAGGUGGUGCAUGGCUGUCGUCAGCUCGUGCCGUGAGGUGUUGCCUUAAGUGGCGCAACGAGCGCAACCCCUGUCCUUAGUUGCCAGCGGGUAAUGCCGGGAACUCUAGGGAGACUGCCGGUGCCAAACCGGAGGAAGGUGGGGAUGACGUCAAGUCAUCAUGCCCCUUAUGUCCAGGGCUGCACACAUGCUACAAUGCGCGAUACAGAGGGUUGCGAUCCCGCAAGGGGGAGCGAAUCCCAAAAAGUCGCGCUCAGUUCGGAUCGGGGUCUGCAACUCGACCCCGUGAAGUCGGAGUCGCUAGUAAUCGCCGAUCAGCACUGC
rnacentral:rRNA from 1 species